rnacentral:rRNA from 1 species
AAUGAACGUUGGCGGCGUGGAUUAGGCAUGCAAGUCGAGCGAGAACCCGCAAGGGGGACAGCGGCAAACGGGGUAGUAACGGGUAGGUGACGUACCCUCCGGUCGGGGAUAGCCACGGGAAACUGUGGGUAAUACCCGAUAACCUUUCAGAGCAUAACGGCUUUGAGAGCAAAGGUGUGAUUCCACCGGGGGAGCGGCCUGCUUCGUAUUAGCUAGUUGGUGAGGUAACGGCUCACCAAGGCGACGAUGCGUAGGGGGUGUGAGAGCAUGACCCCCACCACUGGGACUGAGAUACUGCCCAGACACCUACGGGUGGCUGCAGUCGAGAAUCUUCGGCAAUGGGCGCAAGCCUGACCGAGCGACGCCGCGUGUGGGAUGAAGGCCCUUGGGUUGUAAACCACUGUCAGAGGGGAUGAAGUGCCAGCCAGCAAUCUGGUUGGUUUGACAUAGCCUCAGAGGAAGCACGGGCUAAGUUCGUGCCAGCCGCCGCAGUAAAAC